rnacentral:rRNA from 1 species
UACAGAGGUCCCAAGCGUUGUUCGGAUUCACUGGGCGUAAAGGGUGCGUAGGCGGCCUGGUAAGUCUGUUGUGAAAUCUCCAAGCUUAACUUGGAAACUGCAGUGGAUACUAUCCGGCUAGAGGAAUGGAGGGGAGACUGGAAUACUUGGUGUAGCAGUGAAAUGCGUAGAUAUCAAGUGGAACACCGGUGGCGAAGGCGGGUCUCUGGGCCGAUACUGACGCUGAGGAGCGAAAGCGUGGGGAGCGAACAGG